UACGUAGGGACCAAGCGUUGUUCGGAUUUACUGGGCGUAAAGGGCGCGUAGGCGGCGCGGUAAGUCACUUGUGAAAUCUCUGAGCUUAACUCAGAACGGCCAAGUGAUACUGCAGUGCUAGAGUGCAGAAAGGGCAAUCGGAAUUCUUGGUGUAGCGGUGAAAUGCGUAGAUAUCAAGAGGAACACCCUGAGGCGAAGGCGGGGUUGCUAGGCUGACACUGACGCUGAGUGCGCGAAAGCCAGGGGAGCAAACGGG
rnacentral:rRNA from 1 species